AAAAGAUGAAGGUUAUAUGAUUGAUACAAACUUGUUGCAUAACUCUGAAUGUAACUACGCUAUCAAUGAAAACUAUUAAUGUAACUUACAGAAAGUUAAAAAUGCAAUGCAUUUUAAGUGUUAAAAAUGCAAUGCAUUUAGGAUGUAAAAAAUGCAACUAACUUUCCAGCGAAAAAAGGGUGAAAAGUUACAAAGUCAAUGCAUGUGUUUAAAAGAGAAGAAAUAUAAGUAGAAAAAUCUUAACUUCUAUAACUGUAGAUUAAUCCUUGUAAGAUGAGAAUGAGAAGGAAACUUUAUGGUAUCCAGAAAAAAAAUGUGGAAAGUAACUUAGAAAAAGUUAAAAUGCAAUUUCUUUGGUUGCAAAAAAUGCAACUAACAUUAAAGGGAAAAAAAUUGAGAAGUUAUGAUGGCGAAAAAAGAAAUAAAUUUGAAAAAAUAAAGAAUAAGAAAGAAAAAUAAGGGGAAAAAGAUAUUGCAAAGAAGUUAAAAGGGAAAUAAUAUAUUUAUUUUAAUCUUGAUUGGGAGAUGGCUUGAUUGACAAAUCACAAAUGAGUAUAGUCCUGAUUAUUGACUAGGGUUCAAUUUUAAAACAAUUUCAUAAAUAAGCAUUUUCAUGGCAGAUCAUCCUAUAUUUUCUAGUGUGGAUGGCCUACUUUGAUUGAGAAGAUGGAUUAAAUUCUAAGAAUGAAAAUUUGGUCUGGAAUGCCACUUGAUUUCAAAAUAAAAGAGUCAAAGGAUGCACCAAAUUGAGAAGAAAAUGUUUUAAUGAAGUGGAUUAUGUGAAAAAUAGGAUUUGGAUUCAUUUAGGAAUUUUCCAAUUAAUUUUUUAGGGCAUUUCCAAUUACUUUUUAAAAGGCCAGUUAGGAUUUUGCUCUGUUUUAUAUUAUUAAAAUGUUA
rnacentral:misc_RNA from 1 species